GUGGGGAAUCUUGGACAAUGGGGGCAACCCUGAUCCAGCGACGCCGCGUGGGUGACGAAGGCCUUCGGGUUGUAAAGCCCUUUUGUCGGGGACGAUGAUGACGGUACCCGGCGAAUCAGCACCGGCUAACUCCGUGCCAGCAGCCGCGGUAAGACGGAGGGUGCUAGCGUUGUUCGGAUUUACUGGGCGUAAAGGGCGCGUAGGCGGCCCUGUCAGUCGGGUGUGAAAGCCCGGGGCUCAACCCCGGAACGGCACCCGAGACGGCAGGGCUGGAGACCGGGAGAGGAGGGUGGAAUAGCCAGUGUAGAGGUGAAAUUCGUAGAUAUUGGCUGGAACACCGGUGGCGAAAGCGGCUCUCUGGCCCGGUUCUGACGCUGAGGCGCGAAAGCGUGGGGAGCAAACAGGAUUAGAUACCCGAGUAGUCC
rnacentral:rRNA from 1 species